rnacentral:rRNA from 1 species
GGAGUUAGCCGGUGCUUCUUCUGUGAGUGAUGUCCUUCCUGCCGGCUAUUAACCCGCAGGCCUUCUUCCUCACUGAAAGUGCUUUACAACCCGAAGGCCUUCUUCACACACGCGGCAUGGCUGGAUCAGGGUUGCCCCCAUUGUCCAAUAUUCCCCACUGCUGCCUCCCGUAGGAGUCUGGGCCGUGUCUCAGUCCCAGUGUGGCUGAUCAUCCUCUCAGACCAGCUACGGAUCGUCGCCUUGGUGAGCCGUUACCUCACCAACCAGCUAAUCCGACAUAGGCUCAUCCGAUAGCGCGAGGCCCGAAGGUCCCCCGCUUUCCCCCGUAGGGCGUAUGCGGUAUUAGCCUGGGUUUCCCCAGGUUAUCCCCCACUACCGGGCAGAUUCCUAUGCAUUACUCACCCGUCCGCCGCUCGCCACCAGGGAGCAAGCUCCCCGUGCUGCCGCUCGACUUGCAUGUGUAGCUCGCCGCCACGCGUCAUCUGAGCAUGAUACAACUACUCGA